rnacentral:tRNA from 1 species
GGGCGGAUAGUUUAGUCUGGAUAGAAUACAAGGCUUCGGACCUUGGGACCAGGGUUCGAAUCCCUGUCCGCCCG